rfam:Catenaria anguillulae PL171 BCR44scaffold_494, whole genome shotgun sequence.
GUCUUCGUGGUGUAGUUGGUUAUCACGUCUGUCUAACACACAGACGGUCUCCAGUUCGAAUCUGGACGAAGACA